GAUGAGAUGUGGAUGUGACAGAUGAAGGUGAGCCAGUGGCCUCACCCCUACAGGGUCCUGAGGCAGGGCAUGUUGAGACUGUCAGCUUUUUUUUGUGAGCACAGAAGCUAACCAGCUUGAAAAUCCAAUGAAAGUAUUAAGACCUGGACACCUGUCACAUUAUGAGAACACAAUUGCAACAAAUUCUUUUGGAUUUGAUCCAUGUAAUGAGGGCAGAAGAGUAAGGGAAGGUACAAUCUGUCAAGUGCAGGGGAAGCUUCCUGGAAGUGAAAAGCUUUCUAUUGCAUUGACAGCUGUUCUACUUUAAAACAAGCUUGUUCUACUUUUCCUAGAGCUCUGUGCCCCAGCUUAUGUUAGGUGCUGGAACACGUCUGGCAGCCACCAAUGUGAUGGUUAUGGUGUGGCUAAAAAGUCUGCUGGAAGAGGAAAGUAAGUCCAGGAUGGUCUUCCCAGCCUCUGAAAUGAUUACUAGGUGAUUCUGUAACUGGUGAACACUGUGAAUACUAAAUGAGUGUGGAUCUGCCACUUCCCUCAUUGCUCUUUUUGUCCCAGUAAACUCAAGAAAGUACCUCCAUAUGUUUGUUCUUAGAGGCAGACCAGAGCCAAUCCUGAGAAAUCCUGGCUGUAAGGAUUGCGGAUUACACUUUGAAUUCUGCCAUUGCUAAAUAAGGAGAGAGGAAGGAGAGACAAGUACAGCACAGAGCUCUCUCAGGGGACCUUUUACCAGCUGAUAAAGGAUGAGCUAUCUGAUGACUAGUUAGUUUAUAGACUGCCUGAGGGAAUGGCAUGAAGCUGCGUCAGUGGAAGUUAAGGUUGGGUGUUAGGAAAAGGUUCUUCACUACAGACAGAACUACAACAGGCUCCCCAGUCUGCCUUCUACAGACUCUUAUCUCCUGGUCCUGCAUUUCCAAAUGUGUCUCCCAUGGGACUCUCAUACAGAGAGGCGAGAAGAGAACAGAUCCAAGGAUAAGCAGUGUUGAAAGGUAUUGGACGGCUUCUCUCAAGUCUCCUUGGAACCUUCUCCUCUCAAGGCUGAACAACCCCAACUCUUUCAGAUUAUCUUCACAGGAGAGAUGCUGCAGCUUUCUGAGCAUCUUCAUGGCACCUCUCUGGACUCACUCUAACAGAUCCAACAGCUUUACAGCCUGCUCCAGUAAGCAGAGAGCUGAGCUCAGACCUGCACAUACACCAUACAGCCAUCUGCAUCGCUCUAGUGGAAGGGCAAAAGAGAGCCACUGCAGUUACCUGCAGAAUCCUUCCACCACUUCAGUUCUGGCAUUAUUAGCAAAAAUGUCAUAA
rnacentral:lncRNA from 1 species